rnacentral:rRNA from 1 species
GUGUCAGCCGCCGCGGUAAUACGUAGGGGUCGAGCGUUGUCCGGAGUUACUGGGCGUAAAGCGCGUGCAGGUGGCUCAUUACGCUCGGCGUGAAAGCCCCCGGCCUAACCGGGGAGGGUCGUCGGGGACGGGUGAGCUUGAGGGUCGCAGGGGCUGGUGGAAUUCCCGGUGUAGUGGUGAAAUGCGUAGAGAUCGGGAGGAACACCCGUGGCGAAGGCGGCCAGCUGGGCGAGCCCUGACACUGAGACGCGAAGGCGUGGGGAGCGAACGGGAUUAGAUACCCCGGUAGUCCACGCAGUAAACGAUGCCGACUAAGCGUGGGGGGACUUGACCCCUUCCGUGCCGAAGCUAACGCAUGAAGUCGGCCGCCUGGGGAGUACGGCCGCAAGGCUAAAACUUAAAGGAAUUGGCGGGG